rfam:TPA: Bos taurus chromosome X, whole genome shotgun sequence.
UCCCUUGUGGCUCAGAUUGUAAAGCAUCUGCCUACAAUGCGGGAGAUCCAGGUUCAAUCCCUGGAUUGGGAG